rnacentral:rRNA from 1 species
CAGCCGCCGCGGGAAUACGAAGGGGGCUAGCGUUGCUCGGAUUUACUGAGCGUAAAGGGCGCGUAGGCGGACAGUUUAGUUGGGGGUGAAAGCCCGGGGCUCAACCUCGGAAUUGCCUUCAAUACUGGCUGUCUUGAGUACGGGAGAGGUGAGUGGAACUCCGAGUGUAGAGGUGAAAUUCGUAGAUAUUCGGAAGAACACCGGUGGCGAAGGCGACUCACUGGCCCGUUACUGACGCUGAGGCGCGAAAGCGUGGGGAGCAAACAGGAUUAGAUACCCCCGUAGUCCCUGUCUCUUAUAA